AAAGCAGCACAAUUUGUGGAAUCACUUUACAAGAAAGCAUUUUCUGUAUAGUUUGAAGAGGACAAGCAAAAAAUCAGUUUGUGGCCUUACAAGUUGUCCACUGAGGCCUAACAAGUGGGAAGAGAAGAUGGAGAAGCCAUCUAGGAGACAGAAAAACCAGUCAAGCUGAUUAAAGGCCAUCCAGGUGCACUGGCUCAAUGUUUUAGAAAUAAGGGGCAAGCUGGAACCAGGAAAAGACAACACCCAUCUGUUAUUGGUCUACAGAGCUGUGAUGGCCAGACAUACCUUGCAAUAAGAGGAAUCUGAUCCCCCUGAGGGAAAAUGAUAUUGUCAGAUGAGGGCAACUACUGGUUCCUUGAUGCAUCAUCUACCAAGUAUCUAAUAGGUUGAGUGGCUAAUAAAACUUGGUAGAAAAACAA